rnacentral:rRNA from 1 species
AUUGAACGCUGGCGGCAGGCCUAACACAUGCAAGUCGAGCGGUAGAGAGGUGCUUGCAUCUCUUGAGAGCGGCGGACGGGUGAGUAAUGCCUAGGAAUCUGCCUAGUGGUGGGGGAUAACGUUCGGAAACGGACGCUAAUACCGCAUACGUCCUACGGGAGAAAGGCGGGGGAUCUUCGGACCUCGCGCCAUUAGAUGAGCCUAGGUCGGAUUAGCUAGUUGGUGAGGUAAUGGCUCACCAAGGCGACGAUCCGUAACUGGUCUGAGAGGAUGAUCAGUCACACUGGAACUGAGACACGGUCCAGACUCCUACGGGAGGCAGCAGUGGGGGAAUAUUGGACAAUGGGCGAAAGCCUGAUCCAGCCAUGCCGCGUGUGUGAAGAAGGUCUUCGGAUUGUAAAGCACUUUAAGUUGGGAGGAAGGGUAGUAACCUAAUACGUUGCUACUUUGACGUUACCGACAGAAUAAGCACGGCUAACUUCGUGCCAG